ACACACACACUGCCCCACACAUACACUGCCCCCUAACGCACACACUGCAACCCUGACAAACACUGCCGCCCUCACACACUCGCACAUACACUUCACCGACCACACACACACUGCACCCCUAACACAUACCACUGCUCCUAUGCCCUAUAUCCCAGCAGACCCAAGGUAAGUUGUCAAACUGUUCUUAAACGGUUUGACUACUUACUCUGGGAUGGGAUCCUGACACUACUGGCACCAUAACUACUACACUGAGCUGUAGUGGUUAUUGUGCCUGGAUUAUUUCUUUAAAUAAUCUACAAGUGCCCCUCCCGAGAUCAGGCUCUGGAUCCGCCACUGCAUGUGGGGAAGGG